UGACCACUUUGUGGUUCAUGACUGGGGUGAAGUCGUAACAAGGUAACCGUAGGGGAACCUGCGGUUGGAUCACCUCCUUACCU
rnacentral:rRNA from 3 species